ACCGGCGCACGGGUGCGUAACGCGUAUGCAACCUACCUCUUACUGGGGGAUAGCCCGAAGAAAUUCGGAUUAAGACCCCAUAGUAUGUAUUCUUCGCAUGUUUGAUACAUUAAAGGUUACGGUAAGAGAUGGGCAUGCGUCCCAUUAGCUAGAUGGUAAGGUAACGGCUUACCAUGGCUACGAUGGGUAGGGGGCCUGAGAGGGUGAUCCCCCACACUGGUACUGAGACACGGACCAGACUCCUACGGGAGGCAGCAGUGAGGAAUAUUGGUCAAUGGACGAAAGUCUGAACCAGCCAUGCCGCGUG
rnacentral:rRNA from 1 species